ACUCUUUCCGAACAAAGAUAAUUCAUUUCAAUACCUCACAAAGGUACAAAUGUAAAUAAUUAAUGAAAUUUUAAUCAGAACAUAUAUGACCGAGAAUGUACUGGAACUGAAAAUUUUCUAGAAGAUAGAACAAUCGUACGAUUAACGUUAUUAGGUUUUGUUUCACGUGUACAUAUUAUGCAAUUCAAUGGAAAUCAAUCAGGAGAAUCUAACAUAAUUUGGUAAAUAUUUAUAUAUGUCUAAAGUGUAUUAUUUAUGUUGUGUUGACAGCCCUGAUAGCGUGAUAUUUCCAUUUAGUAACUGCGUAUAUGCAUACUGCAAUAUUGCACAGGUUAUCUGUAACUUCAAACAAUUUUGAUUAAUUUUAUGCAACAUUUUUCAAAUAUCGAAGUUUUACAUGUGUCAUUGCUAAAAAUAACAUAUAUAUAUAUAUAUGGAUAAUGGAUAAGCCUUGUAUGUAUUACUGUCACACAGCAUUGUUCGUAUAUUUGUCAACAUACAGUUGGAUUUACUACGCAUGCGCAAUCGUCUCAAGGCAUUGACUUCUAGAAGGCUCCAUACUCAUCGUAAGCAGAACGUUGGCGGAUAUUUUGUAGGUAUCUAUCAUUUGAUACGUGCAACAGUGCACGCAAAAUGAGGCGCCAAAAUAUCUAUGCUGGACGAGGUUAAAAUUACUCGAUUACCAAACGCGUCAGUGAUAUCGUUCAGUACGAAUCUAGUGUGAAACAAACAAUGAUACGCGAAUGAAGACGUAGUUAGGUUUAAUGAAAUUCAGGUUAACCAGAUUCGUAUCUUUCGAAUUACGCAUGUCUGUAUUCAAGUAUGGACAUGCUCUAAUUAAUAACUAUCAGAUGCUAAUUAAGCUUCCCACGUAAAAACAAAUCUACUGAUCGUGUAUGUACGUUGAUCAGUAGUGUUUAUUCACGUCCAGAGCUUCUGAAUCGUGUUUACUACGAUCAUAUUACAUUUUAUACUUUGUUUCAUCAACAAACAGUACAGUAGCUGCUUUAUAAUUAAUUUGAAUCAAGAAUAGAUUCAAUAAAUCAAUGCAAGGCAGAACGAAGUUGAAUAAUAUAUUGAAGAAUGCCUCGACCCCUAAUGAAUCAGUCCUUGCAAACACUGGAGUUGGAGAACCGAAAUUUCUUUUACGAAAGUCAUCGACAAUAUGCAUCAUGGCAAAAGCUAAACACAGUUCCUGGUACCACCAUCAAAUUGGUUGUGGAUGAAGCAGCAAACAAGUUGUGGCUCGCUUGAAAAAUAAUCCUUCUGGAACAUGGAAUCAACGAUGAUUCGGGAAAACUGGGAAAAAUACUGCAUGAUCUGAAAGUGAUAGAAGAAACACUGUCGUCGUGUGCCUUCUGGAGAGAGCGAAAGGGAUGUUUUACUGCAGGGAGAUCUGGGCCAUAAGGCGCAAGAAGAUUUCAGAUGGUUUUUCAUCCUCUAAAUUCCGGUGUCUCUUAUCACUGAACAUUUGUUUUUUAAAAAUAAAACAUCCGGUCACGUGAUCUAUCAAGUCUCGUUUCAGUAAGUGGACGUUAUUUAUCGAAAAUCAGAGGAAAAAUCUCCGAUCGAACUUGACAGCCACCGAAUCGUGAGCAAUGUAAAUGUAAAGCAGGCAAUUCCUCGUGGUGGACAGGUCACAUGGAUGGUAUCUUGUCGGUGUACCAAGUGACAGAGGUGUGGGAAAAGAGGAACG